GUCAGAGGGCAGUGUGAAUUUGAUAGCACUUUUACAGAAAUAGAAUGAGUAACAUAUGCUGGGCCACUCUUCUUCAAUUUUCUAACUUGCAUGUUGUUUGAGAUUUUGUAUAUGCGACGAGUUAGUUUAGUUGAUCUUUUACUCUGAUGUCUGUUUGAUCGUUACAUGGGUUAGAUUGUUCUUGUUGGGCACUGUAGUUGGAAGGUAGUGAUGACACCGAAUUUGUUUUCAAAGAAAUGGAAGAGAACAAGAUAUGUAGCGACCACUCUUUGCUUUAUGAACUGUAAGCGGGACUUCUUGAAGCGAAAGAGAAUUGGCAGCAAGCACAUGUGAUUUAUUAGAAAGGCAUUUUCAGGAAUACCAAACCUCUUGAAAGGUUGAAGGGAGCACAUGCUUUAUUUCUCGAUAGGAUUUCUCACUGGGUAAAUGGUUGUUCACUUCAAAAGAUUGAUGGUGAUGAACCAAUUGGGUUGGUAAAAAAUCGUGUUCAUCCAUGGUCCGGUUCAACCAUGGAAGAGCUAUUAAAGAAGAUACACGCUCAAAUCAUGAGAUAUGAUGGAUACCAUCAACGUAACAAAGCUUACUCUGGGAAAGUGGACUUGUUAUCUCUAGGAAAUGCAUCCAGAAACAAGAUUGUUAAGAUAAGUGAUCCUGAAUUUCAAUUUGCAUUAUAUCCUAAACUGCUUUGAGUCUACAGUUAUUGAAAUCUUUCAUGUUGGAACAAGCUUAAAUUUGUAAAAGAACUCAUUUCUUCUUUAUGCUUUAAAAUGUAAGUGAAGGUAAACUACCGAGUGGUUUUGAAGAACCAGGGUGAUGAUAAGUACAAGAUAUUUAGCUUGAUUUUGAGACCAAAUUGAUUAGUGUUUGUAGAAGCCUAUUGUCUACUUUGCUUGCUUGAAAAGGGUUAUUAUGCAAUCCUACUUGACUUCUAUUACCAAUAGAAAGACUUAUCAUGUCAAAUAUCUUUAGAAUUAACCUUUGAUACACAAUAGAAAUGGCAUUUUCAUUAUGAUGUGAAAUUGUAGUUGACACAUGAUACUGAAGUCAUUUGUUGAUCCUAACAGGAAGAGUGCUCUACAGUAUGAUCUUUUAGUAUUGUAAGUGUUGAAAUUAGAAUAAUAAAGAAGAAAGAAGAAAAUAAUACCAUGUUACAUUUAAAAUAAUAAAGAAUAAAAUAACACGAUAAAAUUUAUGUGAUUGGCUACUAGAAUCUACUAUUAAGAAUUGAAUAAUCACACAAUCCAAAAAAUAAGCACACAAAAAGAAAUCAACAUAUAGAUUUAAUAUGAUUCACCAAUUUGAUCACGUCUACAGCGGUUAAAAUUUUCUUAU